UAUAUUUGCACCCUCAAUGAAAAACUCAUUGAUAUACAUAAAAAUCAUUUAAAGAAUAUUGGCAUG
rfam:Polaribacter reichenbachii strain KCTC 23969 LPB301_35, whole genome shotgun sequence.